UACGUAGGGGGCGAGCGUUGUCCGGAUUUAUUGGGCGUAAAGAGCGUGUAGGCGGUUCGGUAAGUCUGUCGUGAAAUCCUGAGGCUCAACCUCGGGCGUGCGAUGGAUACUGCCGGGCUAGAGGGUGGUAGAGGCGAGUGGAAUUCCCGGUGUAGCGGUGAAAUGCGCAGAUAUCGGGAGGAACACCAGUAGCGAAGGCGGCUCGCUGGGCCACACCUGACGCUGAGACGCGAAAAGCUAGGGGAGCGAACAGG
rnacentral:rRNA from 1 species